rnacentral:lncRNA from 1 species
GCGCGCUGGGCGGGCCCCGCGGGGCGCCCGGGCGCCACUCUCGCGGCCCUAUCUGCGAGGUAUUCUUGACCUCCUUGGGCCUUCUCGGUUGUCCCCGCUGCUCCGUGCCAACCCCUGCGUCUCGGAACCGGGAAGGUGGAGUAUAAGCCGGUCCGCCCGCGCUUUUGUUUGCCACCAGAGCGAUUGAGGAGCCUCUGCGACUACCGGGGUCUGUCAACUUUCUGCCUCCUUUUCUGAACCCAGCAAGAGAGUUGCUUCCCUUCCCGUGGCAAACACGGGGUUCCACGCUUCGUCAAUAAACUGAAGUUGAGGCUGGGAUGGUAGAGAGACGGGAUUCCACGCGGGGCUUCUAGGCAGUCUUUCCCACGAAAACGUUGCACAGCUGAGUUGUAGCCUCCAAGCUGCAGUCCCCCGAGCGCUGCCUGUUCUGCCCUGGCCCCUUGCAGGCUCACCUCACACUAACCCCACUUGAGCUCAGCCCAGCAGCCCAAGAAGCUGGACCGCACUGCAGCUGAGAGCUCAUUCCAACGUUUCCAAGUGAAUAAGAUACUGUAGAUUUCCAGGGAUCCAGAGCAAGCCCGAGUCCUGGGUCUGUGCACUAUGGCGGAGUCCCUGUCUCUCCAUCCAGGGGUGUUUCAUAAAUAGCCCCACAUCCCUGAUUCAAGUGUCCUGUGCUUUAACUGGUUCAAAUUCAAGCUAAUGAGCAGCCCAGAGACCUAGACACCAAGCUGUUUCUGGUUUCUCUUUCGGGUUUCAGUAUUUUUCAGGCAGGUGUACUGACACUUUGGAUAAUUCAGCCUUCCUUGUUCCUGACACUGCAGAGGCCCUGGCUUGUUCUGUACCUUGCCUCUGACUUUGCCUUUAGCAAUAACGCUAAUAGAGAUGCCAGCAUGUGACUUUAUCUACUGUUAGCAAUUUGUCCCUACCCCCAGCUUGAAACCCCAAAUCUGUGAGAAAUCGUCCCAGGCCUCCACUGCCCCACAUCUGGCUUCUCAAUCUCUUUGGGGGUUCUUACUUCACUAACUGCUAAAUAUGGAUGGCCCUGGGACUUGUCCUUAGACCUAUUUUACUUGUGUGUCUUAGGGCUUCGAAUAUCUUGAAGAGUUUGAUGCUAACCCAGAUCUCACCCCUGAGCACCAAACAUAUCCACCUGUCCCACGUCUUCUCCCCCAACCCCCAACUGUUGGGUUGAAUAUUGAUUAUCUCAUGUUGGGAAGCCUGUAGUCUCAGCACUCGUGAGACCAAAACAGGAGGAUUGCUUGUGAGUUCAAGGCCAGCCUGGACUGAAGAUGAGACCCUGCCUUUAAAAAUAAAUAAGUGGGACAUCUUCCCCAUGCCUGUAAACAUCUCCCCAUGCCAGCCCAAGGCAGUACACAUCUUUGUUCACCAAUCUGAAAAUUCAGUGUGGUCCUUUUUGUCUCCUGUCCCCUUCCAUCCCGGAAUGUCAGCUCAGCCUUUGAAAUAUACUGAAGCUUCUCACUUUCCAUCACCCUUUGAAGGAUUGACUACCCAGCCUCUGAACUAUUGAUGGAGAACUAACCUAGGGAUCUGCCUCCUUCCUGUCUCCUCGAUGACCAUUCUGGAGAAGAUAAUCCUGGUACCACUACCAUCACCCACAAGAGACCUUAACAAGAUCCUGCUGUCCUUCUGUCAUAGAAGGAAGGGGUGGGAUUGGUCAUUAGACCCUCACCUCCAAUUCUAGUGCCUCUCUCCCUUCUGCACCCCUGAGCAAGCUGCCUGUAACCCUGCUGCAGUGGUCUUUGGAGGUGCUGGAGUACACAGAGGGUCGCUGAAGGGGGCUUCACCUGUGUAGCUUCCUGGAGGUCAUCACCCAUGCUGAGACAAGAUAGGACUUUCAGUGAUGUAGCUGUUUGCGGUCACUCACAACUCCUAUGAUCCCCCAGUUGAAAUCCAAGUCUUAUUCUUCCAGAUGGCACUAAAAUUAAAGACUCCGCUAAGCAUCUGUAUUGUGGAGUCUCCCAGUGUUAUCUGCUCCUGAUGCUGUAAGAUGUGACCAUAGACAGUGAUGUAAAGAAAUGUGUGCUGAUGAUCUUAGUGGUCUGAGGAUGUCAGAAAUAGGUCCCCCUGGGGUGAAAUCCAGAUGCCAGCAACACUGCC